GACGAACGCUGGCGGCGUGCUUAACACAUGCAAGUCGAACGGAAAGGCCCUGCUUUUGUGGGGUGCUCGAGUGGCGAACGGGUGAGUAACACGUGAGUAACCUGCCCUUGACUUUGGGAUAACCUCAGGAAACUGGGGCUAAUACCGGAUAGGAGCUCCUGCUGCAUGGUGGGGGUUGGAAAGUUUCGGCGGUUGGGGAUGGACUCGCGGCUUAUCAGCUUGUUGGUGGGGUAGUGGCUUACCAAGGCUUUGACGGGUAGCCGGCCUGAGAGGGUGACCGGCCACAUUGGGACUGAGAUACGGCCCAGACUCCUACGGGAGGCAGCAGUGGGGAAUAUUGCACAAUGGGCGGAAGCCUGAUGCAGCAACGCCGCGUGCGGGAUGACGGCCUUCGGGUUGUAAACCGCUUUCGCCUGUGACGAGGCGUGAGUGACGGUAAUGGGUAAAGAAGCACCGGCUAACUACGUG
rnacentral:rRNA from 1 species